AUUGAACGCUGGCGGCAGGCCUAACACAUGCAAGUCGAACGGUAACAGGAAGCAGCUUGCUGCUUUGCUGACGCGUGGCGGACGGGUGAGUAAUGUCUGGGAAACUGCCCGAUGGAGGGGGAUAACUACUGGAAACGGUAGCUAAUACCGCAUAACGUCGCAAGACCAAAGAGGGGGACCUUAGGGCCUCUUGCCAUCUGAUGUGCCCAGAUGGGAUUAGCUAGUAGGUGGGGUAACGGCUCACCUAGGCGACGAUCCCUAGCUGGUCUGAGAGGAUGACCAGCCACACUGGAACUGAGACACGGUCCAGACUCCUACGGGAGGCAGCAGUGGGGAAUAUUGCACAAUGGGCGCAAGCCUGAUGCAGCCAUGCCGCGUGUAUGAAGAAGGCCUUCGGGUUGUAAAGUACUUUCAGCGGGGAGGAAGGGAGGAAAGUUAAUACCUUUGCGAAUUGACGUUACCCGAAGAAGAAGCACCGGCUAACUCCGUG
rnacentral:rRNA from 1 species